rnacentral:rRNA from 1 species
UACAGAGGGGGCAAGCGUUGUUCGGAAUUACUGGGCGUAAAGGGCGCGUAGGCGGCCUUCUAAGUCGAACGUGAAAUCCCCGGGCUCAACCCGGGAACUGCGUCCGAUACUGGAAGGCUUGAAUCCGGGAGAGGGAUGCGGAAUUCCAGGUGUAGCGGUGAAAUGCGUAGAUAUCUGGAGGAACACCGGUGGCGAAGGCGGCAUCCUGGACCGGCAUUGACGCUGAGGCGCGAAAGCGUGGGGAGCAAACAGGG